UACGGAGGGUGCAAACGUUGCUCGGAAUUAUUGGGCGUAAAGCGCACGUAGGCGGACUGUUAAGUCGGAUGUGAAAGCCCUCAGCUUAACUGAGGAAGUGCAUUCGAAACUGGCAGUCUUGAGUAUGGAAGAGGGUCGCGGAAUUCCCGGUGUAGAGGUGAAAUUCGUAGAUAUCGGGAGGAACACCAGUGGCGAAGGCGGCGACCUGGGCCAAUACUGACGCUGAGGUGCGAAAGCGUGGGGAGCAAACAGG
rnacentral:rRNA from 1 species